AGCCUCCUCCUCUUCACUUUGCUGAUCCAUGACUGCGCACCCACAUCCAGCUCUUACCUCAUCAAGUUUGCAGAUGACACGAAUGUGGUGGGUCUCGUCAACAACAACAAUGAGACGUUACAGGAAUGAAGUGAGCUUCCUAGCGAUGUGAUGCAAGGACAACAAUCACCACCUGAACGUGGAGAAGACUAUAUAUUGUAGUGAACUUCAGGAGAGGAAAACACCCAGCAUUAGCCAUCAACAGUGCUGCAGUAGAGCAGAAAAUGAAAAGAGCACAAGCCGUGUCCCCCAUCAUGAUCUUCUACAGAGGGAUGAUCAAGAGCAUCCUGUACAACAGCAUCACCAUGUGUCAUCAAACCUGCUUCAUCCGCAAGGCCACCAGGAUCACAGGUGACCAAGCUUACUCGUCUCGCUGACUCAGGGAGUAGACUAGCAGGCUCAGACAGUUAUGCCACGAGAAAUGUUGGAUUAAUUGGAUAUAAAGUUCUCAUAUUUGCUUUCUUGGUUGUAAAUGCUUCAUUGCUUAUGUGAUGUGAUGCAAUCAAGUUACAUUGGGUGCCGUGGAAACACCAGACAGUGAUGCAGAAGACAAAAAAGGCUAACGAUCUCGAGAGGAUGGUGAAGACAUCGCAAAGACUCACAUGGACUAUUUUUGUCACAGUUGCUUUGUUUGUCACAUGUGCGUUGUUGUGAUGCGGACCAUGCUAAGAAAUAAAAAAGUGGAGACGUGGAGAUGUGAU